rnacentral:rRNA from 1 species
AGUGAACGCUGGCGGUAGGCCUAACACAUGCAAGUCGAACGGCAGCACAGUAAGAGCUUGCUCUUACGGGUGGCGAGUGGCGGACGGGUGAGGAAUACAUCGGAAUCUACUUUUUCGUGGGGGAGAACGUAGGGAAACUUACGCUAAUACCGCAUACGACCUACGGGUGACAGCAGGGGAUCUUCGGACCUUUCGCGAUUGAAUGAGCCGAUGGCGGAUUAGCUAGUUGGCGGGGUAAAGGCCCACCCAGGCGACGAUCCGUAGCUGGUCUGAGAGGAUGAUCAGCCACACUGGAACUGAGACACGGUCCAGACUCCUACGGGAGGCAGCAGUGGGGAAUAUUGGACAAUGGGCGCAAGCCUGAUCCAGCCAUACCGCGUGGGUGAAGAAGGCCUUCGGGUUGUAAAGCCCUUUUGUUGGGAAAGAAAAGCAGCAGGUUAAUACCCCGCUGUUCUGACGGUACCCAAAGAAUAAGCACCGGCUAACUUCGUG